rnacentral:tRNA from 2 species
CGGAGUGUAGCGCAGCCUGGUAGCGCACUUGUCUGGGGGACAAGGGGUCGUGGGUUCGAAUCCCGCCACUCCGACCA